rnacentral:rRNA from 1 species
GAUGAACGCUGGCGGCGUGCCUAAUACAUGCAAGUCGAGCGAACAGACGAGGAGCUUGCUCCUCUGACGUUAGCGGCGGACGGGUGAGUAACACGUGGAUAACCUACCUAUAAGACUGGGAUAACUUCGGGAAACCGGAGCUAAUACCGGAUAAUAUAUUGAACCGCAUGGUUCAAUAGUGAAAGACGGUUUUGCUGUCACUUAUAGAUGGAUCCGCGCCGCAUUAGCUAGUUGGUAAGGUAACGGCUUACCAAGGCGACGAUGCGUAGCCGACCUGAGAGGGUGAUAGGCCACCCUGGAACUGAGACACGGUCCAGACUCCUACGGGAGGCAGCAGUAGGGAAUCUUCCGCAAUGGGCGAAAGCCUGACGGAGCAACGCCGCGUGAGUGAUGAAGGUCUUCGGAUCGUAAAACUCUGUUAUUAGGGAAGAACAAAUGUGUAAGUAACUAUGCACGUCUUGACGGUACCUAAUCAGAAAGCCACGGCUAACUACGUG